rnacentral:lncRNA from 1 species
GAUUUAUGUGUCUACGAAUUUCUAAAGUUCUGGAUGCUCUUAUAGGAACAUCUGACCGUACUUCUGAGUAAAACUUUCUACUGAAUCUGAUGUUCCUUUGCUCAACAUUAUUUCAAUAGCAUUUGUAGCAAGACUCACUGCAGGAACAAGGGAAAUGUCCCCCCCUCCAAAAAAAAAGGAAGGAAGGAAAAAAGAAAGAAGGGAGAAAGAAAGAAAGAAAGAAAGAAAGAAAGAAAGAAAGAAAGAAAGAAAGAAAGAGAGAGAGAGAGAAAGGAAGGAAGGAAGGAAGGAAGAAAGAAAAGAAAGGAAGAAAAGAAAGAAUGGAAGAAAGGUCAUAAGAGUUCAGGGAAAAUUAAUCAUGAUUUUUACUCUUUUAGCUGAAAGUUUCUUCUUUGGACACAUAUAAAAUUAUAGCAUUAUUAUUCUACAUUUUGGUCUGUUGUAUUUACAUUUGCAUCUGAGAAUUUAGUUUUAAUAUGAACUAUGUACUUUAUAACUUAAUUAUUAUUUAUUAUAUAUUUGAUUUUAAAUGUUUAUGUUCAUGGCUUCUUAUUUAAGACCUCAUCACAUUAAAUACUAUGCAGUCAGUACAACUGUCUUUUGUGAUUCCCUGGAAACUCUUAAUUCCUUAAUUUUAGCAGAAAAUAAAAGAUGAUCCUUAGUUUCUGAACGCAUAUAAUUUUUACAUGUGUAAAGUAAAGAUGGCCUUUUCUCCUUACAUACUUUCACUAAAAUGGAACUUUUUAUUUCCUGUCCCUAUUUCAAGGACACCACUUUCUUUUCAUCCUCCCAAAUGUAUGGUAGGCCCAAGAGGAGUUGAAGAUACCUUUAUUCAAUGCCCAUUACCUGCACAUCUUGUGCAAAAUUCAUUCCUGCUUUGAAGUUUAACCCACCUAGCUUUGCUGUCCCCUUACUUCUUACUGAUGGUUGUUAUCUCCUGAACAUUCUUCUAUGUUAAGUGAAAACUUAAGCAUGUUCUUUUCUUUGAAUCCAAGUUCUGCUAACAGCCUGGGUGACUUCAAGGACCAUGAGGAGGAUUCUGCCAAAAUGAUAGCUUCUCAGAACCUUGAGUGCUUCAGUUUCAAACACCUGCAUCUUUUACCUCCUUCUCUCCACUCUCAUGGUGGUACACCAGACUUUAUCACCUGGAACCAUUCUCUGCCUGAAAUCUUUACAUAUAUAAUAAAACCCACCUGUAAGAUCUUUGCUCUCAAACUGCCCUCCUUCUACUACAUCUAUCCUGACAUUUCAUCACAACAGCCAGGCCUUCCCCAUUCCCAUUCUCCCAGUUUAUUAAAUUCCUUCCCUCCUGCAUAGAGCCUGGGUCCCUGAUCAAUCUCUUGAACUACAGACCUGGCACAGACCCAAUCCCAUUCUUCUCGAGGAUGUGCCCACAAACUGCUACCUAGAUGUCUGUCUUGCUCCCCUGAUUCAGCUUCAGAUGCUAGUUCUGCCUCUUAUCUUUGGGGACACUUCCAAACUCCCUCAUCUGACUUACUGGAGUCACUUCCCCACUUCAGUCUCAGGUCUAAACAUUCACCUGCUUUCAACAUCUGCCUCUGUAUAUUCCAGUCCACAGGUUAGUGUGGGAAUGGCCUCACCUCAUGCAGAGGGAAGAGGUUUGAAUGUUCACGUGAAGUCAAGCUCAUUGGAAGAAUAGUGUAUGUGUGUGUGUACACUCCCUCACCUCCUAUCCACUUCAAACCACUAUAAUCUGAUUUCUAACCCUCCCACACUCUACCACUGGAUCAUUAAAAUUAUCCCUUCUCUGGUCAACAAUGACCUCCAAACUACCCAACUCACAAAUGUGUCUAAAUCUUAAUCUUAUUAUGACCCUUGCUACCUUUGAGUACACCCUUUCUUUUCCCUCUUUGACUUUGGAGGCUACUCUUUCUCCUGCUUCUUGUCCUACCUCUCUGACCACACAUUGUCAUUGUCAGUUGUUGGUUUGCUUUCCUGUGCCUCCCUUAGAAGAUGAUGCUCUUGAGAAUUCCAUCCUUGGCUACCUUUUCACUUGAAACCUUUUCCUUCAAUAAUCCAAUAAAUUACGUUUGUUUUAAAUAUGCCUGUACACAUAAUGGACCCCUAAAUCUACACAUAAAGGCUAUUCCCCUCUGCUAUUUCCAGACCCAUAGAUCCAACUUCUCCUUAGAUAUUUUCAUCUUUAUCCUCCAGGCCUUUCACCUUUAUUUCACAUACAGGAAUUGACCUCAUCACUUUCCCUUACUUCUAUGACCUUCUUUGUUUCCCUAGUCUUUAUUAUUUCUAUCAUUUUCUUAAUCUUAUUUUCCUUUGAUUUACUUUUUAAUGAGUUUAUAAGUUUCAUGUAUACAAUAAUAUACUUCUACUUCUGUAUAUCCUAUAGCAUGCUCACCACAAAAAAUUUAGCUUCCAUCUGACGCCAUACAGUUGAUCCCCUUUACUCAUUUUGCCCUCUCCCUCCUGCCCUUUCUCCUCCAGUAACCACUACUCUGUUUUCUGUAUCUGUGCGUUUGGUUUGAUUUGCUCAUUUAUUUUGGUUUUGGUUUGCUUGUUUAUUAUUUAUAGUCCAUAUCUGAGUGAAGUCAUAUGUUAUUUGUCUUUCUCUGUUGACUUAUUUCACUUUGCAUAAUACCCUCAAUGUCCAUCUAUGUUGUUGCAGAAAAAAAAAGGAUUCCAUCUUUUUUAUGGCUGAGUGGUAUUCCAUUGUAUACCUCAUCUUCGUUAUCUGCGCAUCUGUUGACAGGCACUUAGGUUGUUUCCAUAUUUUGGCUAUUAUAAAGUAAUGAUGGCAGGUUCUCUAAUCUUAAUUGAGGGGAAUGGAUCUCCCAGCAGCCAAGACCCUGCCUUCUCUCUCAUACAAUAUAGCCAAUUCACCCCCGGGUUUUGCUAUUUCUAAGUCCAUCCUUUCUUUUUCACUCCCUCUGCCAUUGCCUUAAUUCAGGUUCUCAGCAAUGGUUGUAAUAACUUCUGUUUUGGUUUCUAGCCCCUUUCUAGUCUCUGCAUGGCCACCAGAGUGAUAUUUUUUAAAACUUAAGUCUGACCACAAUUCUCCCUUAUUUAAAACUUUUCACUGGCUUUCCUUUGGAUAGCCCAGCCAUGAAGCAGGGCAUGUAAAACUCUUUAUCAUAUGCUCUCUUCAGCUCUCAAUCUCUCCUCACAUUGAACUUCCCAUUCCAGCCAAUCCAAUCUACUUCUGUUUCCCUAGACACACCACAUUCGUUUUAUUCCUCUGUGCCUUUGUAUUUGCAGUGAACUCUCCCUGGGAUAUUACUUCUCUACCACCUCCUCUUAAUACCCAGAAAACCCCUCCUGUGUCCAUCAAUAUUCAACGUCAUCAUCACUUCCUCUAGAAGAAUUCCAAUCAUCUUUGUCUCUGACAGUGUUAUUCUCUUCUUACUUUGAGAAAUUGAGCACUUGAUGAUUAUUAAAUUUAAUGUGCAUACAAAAAUUUGUUGAUUUAUAUGUCUGUUUCCCUUUCUAGAAUAUAAAUAUUUGGCAGAUGGAACUGAAUUUCACUAGCAUAGUGCCUCAUAUGUGCUAGAUAACCUACAGCAGAAAACAAAUAUUUAUAUAACUAAAUUGAACUAAAUACAAAUGUAUGCUCAUGCAUUGAAAUUUUCUUUGACAUUUCUCUUUCUCUUCCAUGUUGAAUUCAGUCACCAAAGCCAGUGAUGCUAUUUUCAAAAUAUCUCUAGACUCCAACUACUUGUCACCAUUUUUGUUGCUCCCACUUUGUUGAGGCCACCAUAAUCUCUCACCCAGAUGAUUGUAAUACCUUCCUAAAUUCCUUCCUGCUUUUGUCCUUGCCCCUCACCAAAAUCCAUCUGCAACCAAGCAACCUGAGUGAGUCUUUUAAAAGCUAAUCAGAAUAUGUUAUCCUUCAGCUCAAAACCUUCCAGUGGAUCCCACUUCAUUCAGGGGAAAACCUGUGCUACAACAGCAUCUACGUGGUUGUGUGCCCUCUACCCUUCAUCUCUCUAGCUUCGUUUUCACAUUCCUCACUCAAUUCUUGCCACACUGGCACUCUCCUUUCACGAACACUGUAGGCACAUUCCUGCCCAAGCCACCUGCACUUUGCAUUCCUUCAGUUUGGAAGGUUUUCCUGCCAAAGGUCCAUGUGGUCCACUGCCUCACCUCCUUCAGUCCUGUUCAGCUGUCAUCAUCUACUGACCACCACUGUAUUUUAAAUUGCACCCCCCCCAAAGAACUCUUGCUUUAUUUUUCUCUAUAGCACUUACCACCACCCUGGACAUUCAUUUUAUUUAUUUGUCUUUUUAGGGCCACAUUUGUGGUAUAUAGAGGUUCCCAGGCUAGGGGUCGAAUCAGAGCUAUAGCUGCUGGCCUACACCACAGCCACAGCAACACCAGUUCAGAGCCAUGUCUGCGACCUACACCAUAGCUCAUGGCAAUGCUGGAUUCUUAACCCACUGAGCGAGGCCAGGGAUCUAACUUGUGUCCUCAUGGAUGCUAUUCAGAUUCAUUUCCACUGAGCCAAGACAGGAACUCCCUGGACAUAUAUUUUAAUAAUUUAUAUGUUUAUUGUCUCUGUUCUCCACCAGAAUGUAAGCUCAAUUCUACAGAGAUUUGUUCGGUUUUGUUCACUGCUAUAUAUCUGGCACCUGGAACUAUGCCUUGAACAUAGAAAGAAUUCAUUUAAUAUUUCUGGAAGGAAUUCGUGCGUUCUGUGAUGGUUGGCAUUGGAGUUUCCCAUGGGGUUUUAAUUCCCAACACAAAAGUUAAAGUGUGUUAACUUUUGUUUUUCACUUUAGCUUCCUGAUCUCUGGGUAUCACGUAUUUUCUACAAAUUUUACCCAUUCUCUUAUCAGAUAUAACCAAACCUCUUCUUUAUUUUUGAAAUUGGUCUUUAGCAAUCCAAAAUUUGGAAGAUAAAAAUGGAAACAUCCCUACUUAAUAUGAACAUUUUAGCAAGAAUAUUUUUCUAAAGAAAGCUUCUAGAGUUUUGAUGUCUAGAGUUCUUUUGCUGGUAGAUAAAACAUCUUGAUGAUUUCAAAUCAUAUAACUGAAACUCUUCCAUAUGACACUCUUUCCUUCACAAAAAUAGAAAAUUCAAGCAUUCAUAUACCCACUUGUGGAUUCCUAAAGAUGUCUUUUUCUACCUUCCCAUUCAUAAUGAAAUAUUAUUCUUUUCAAGAAGGCUUCCUUGCAUGAUACAAAUUAUUUUAUUUUUUUUCACCUUCUUUAGUUUUCUUUCGUACUUCUUGAAUGAGAUGGUAAAAUGUGGAGAAAUGCUGUGGAGAAA